UGCAUGUAUGGAAGCUCUUGCAUGGUAUGAAAUAUCACUUUUUUUAGAUUAAAAUUUUCUCUGGUGGUUGAGUAGGGGGAUGUUUAAUGUUUAUUUCUAUCCUUUGACUUUUCUUUUUUGAUCUAAGAGAGUGUUUAAUUUGGAACUUAUUUCAAUGGAGCUUUAGAAUUACAGUUCCUGAAGUUUUUUUUGUUUGUGUUCCAGACUUACAAUUCAUAUGUUGUCCUUAUUCGAGAAUAAAUGAUUUUGCAG
rnacentral:misc_RNA from 1 species